GCGGCGGACGGGUGAGUAAUGCGUGAGGAACCUACCUUCCACAAGGGGAUAGCCUCGGGAAACCGGGAUUAAUACCCUAUGACACUUAAGAGUCGCAUGACUCUUAGGUUAAAGCGCUUUAGCGGUGGGAGAUGGCCUCACGUCCCAUUAGCUAGUUGGUGAGGUAACGGCUCACCAAGGCGACGAUGGGUAGCCGGCCUGAGAGGGUGACCGGCCACACUGGGACUGAGACACGGCCCAGACUCCUACGGGAGGCAGCAGUGGGGAAUAUUGCACAAUGGGCGAAAGCCUGAUGCAGCGACGCCGCGUGAGCGAAGAAGGCCUUCGGGUCGUAAAGCUCUGUCCUAUGGGAAGAUAAUGACGGUACCAUAGGAGGAAGCCCCGGCUAACUACGUGCCAGCAGCCGCGGUAAUAC
rnacentral:rRNA from 1 species